rnacentral:rRNA from 1 species
GUGCCAGCCGCCGCGGUAAUACGUAGGUGUCAAGCGUUAUCCGGAAUUACUGGGCGUAAAGGGCGCGCAGGCGGCCGGGCAAGUCUCGUGUGAAAGCCUCCGGCUUAACCGGGGGAGGUCGCGAGAUACUGCUUGGCUUGAGACAGUGAGAGGGAGGCGGAAUUCCCGGUGUAGUGGUGGAAUGCGUAGAUAUCGGGAAGAACACCAGUGGCGAAGGCGGCCUCCUGGCACUGUUCUGACGCUGAGGUGCGAAAGCGUGGGGAGCGAACGGGAUUAGAUACCCCGGUAGUCCACGCUGUAAACGAUGUGAACUAGGUGUGGGCAGCAUUGACCCUGUCCGUGCCGCAGCCAACGCGAUAAGUUCACCGCCUGGGGACUACGGCCGCAGGGCUAAAACUCAAAUGAAUUGACGGGG